AUGAACAAAGAGCACAUCAUGUGAACCUGAAACAUCAAUCAAACUCCAGCAAAGAUAAGACACAAGCAUUGGGAUCAAUCCUUGACCAAUAUCAAGUUUGAUCUCCAAUGUAACAGGCUAUGCAACAGAUUGAAACAAGCAUUAUCACAUUCACAUCUUUGCAAGCAAUCUCUCUAAGUACAAGCAAGAUCAAAUCAGAUUCAAGACGAGCUACUUAGGCAAUAACUUCUGCCUUAACUACAAUUUAGAUUUGAAUCUAAGUGUAUCAACCUAAGGCAGCAACAAUAUGACAAUAUGCAAUAACCUUAAUCAGUUUCUAUUUAUGAAUGCAAGAAGAGAUCAGACAAUACUAGGAUUGAACAUAGACAGUAUGAGACAUGCUUAUGUAUGCAAAACAGCUUAUCAAUCAUGAUGUAAUCAGUUGAGAUAUUCUACUCAUUCCUACAACAUAUUCAUGGCGAUUUGAGCUAUGGAAAUACGCAAGUCAAUGCAACAGACAGAAUCAUGAUAAUAUCAAGUCCUAAUCUAUGCAAGCACAUUCUCUAAAUACUUAUGUAUGAUCAAUGAUCAAACCCAUAGUAUUUAGGCAAUAAUAGUUAACCACCUUAACCACCAUCUUAGACAUUAAUCUAGAUGUUUCAAUCUUAAGGUAGCAACCGAAUGAUAAUGCAAAACACCUUAACAACCCUUUUAGACCUCAUGAGUGCAACCAGCGGAUGAGACAAUAUCAUCUAGCAUCCUAGCAACACAUUCAAGACUCACAGCAUGGCAUAUAUCAUCAAGAACACCAAACAAGUCUCAUAAAGCAUCCUGGGAUAUACACAGCAUAUCAAUCACCACACCACCUCAACAUUUCUAUACUCAAGCUUUUUAAUAAAGAGGGAAAGAGAUCCAGCUUACAGCCAAGGAACUUUUACUAGUUCCUUGAAUCUCCAUGGUUCAUGGCCAGAUGUUGAGCUCUUGGUGUCGUAUCACACCCCUUCUUCUUUCAUGAACCAUCCUCUUGAACCCACCAUGGCUGAGACACCUCCUU
rnacentral:lncRNA from 1 species